UUAACGUUGGCGGUGCGUCUAAUACAUGCAAGUCGAGCGCUACUUCGGUAGAGCGGCGAACGGGUGUGUAACACGUUGGAACCUGCCUCGAACUCAGGGAUAACAUCGAGAAAUCGGUGCUAAUACCGGAUAGUCCCGCAAGGGUAAAGAUUUUUCGGUUCGAGAGGGGCCUGCGUCCUAUUAGCUAGUUGGUGAGGUAAUGGCUUACCAAGGCGAUGAUGGGUAGCUGGUCUGAGAGGAUGAUCAGUCACAGGGGAACUGAGACACGGUCCCCACUCC
rnacentral:rRNA from 1 species